GAUGCACCUUGUGAACCUUCCCUUGUUUAUCUCCUUAAUUGAUGUAGUUUUGCACUUCUCUUUAUAAGAGCAUGAGAGAAGCUUCCUUUCAACUGCUAGCUUCCAACACACCAAUCAUCCACUUUAACUUUUUGUGGGAUGAGAAGUCAAUACCUAGAACUACACAACUAAUACCAAUAAAUGAGUUCCUAGUUCCCAAAACUAACAGCAAAAGUGCCAAGAAUAUCAAAAAGUAUUGAGUGACAGAUUUCCUUGGAAUAGGGAACAAAAGUACAUGAAAAGACAUGACAAAACCGAAGAAAAAAGCCAGCUAGACAAAACUGAGGGUCCAACUGAUCGCAAAACCUGGAGCUCUUUGUGUAAACUGACUGAUCGUUGGGAAGCAACGACUGGUUGCUUGAAGUCUACAGCUUUUCUUAGCAGAACCGAUUGAUCGUUUUCUUCAACUUAAACAACCUCUGCUCUCGGCAUAAAUCGACCAAUCGCAUGCUCCUUGCUGAACAUUUUUCUUCCUUCCUUGCAUAUGUUUUCGGUGAGCUAAACAUCAACAAAUUUCUCUUUGAAUUUGUUUUAAGGGUUACUUAGAUUUUUUGUCACUAGGGUUUGG
rnacentral:lncRNA from 1 species